GACGGAGGAUGCAAGUGUUAUCCGGAAUCACUGGGCGUAAAGCGUCUGUAGGUGGUUUAAAAAGUCCACUGUUAAAGAUUGAAGCUUAACUUCAAAAAUGCCGUGGAAACUUUUAAACUUGAGUAUGAUAGGGGUAGAGGGAAUUUCCAGUGGAGCGGUGAAAUGCGUAGAUAUUGGAAAGACCACCAAUGGCAAAGGCACUCUACUGGGCCAUUACUGACACUGAGAGACGAAAGCUAGGGGAGCGAAUGGG
rnacentral:rRNA from 1 species